GAGCUUUCGUAAGAUUGGAUUAAUUUCGCAUCGUGCCUGACAAUAUAAUGGACUUUUAGUUUAAACAAAAAUUUCUUUGGAGCUCAGAAGCUUUGAAAGAUGCAAACCAAGAUCAAAGACUAAAGAUUCGAGUACCUAAACGGAAUAAACGGGAGAAUGAUUUCGAUUAUCUGGAUAUUCAAUAAAUUUAAGGAGCAGAAAUCAGUGUUGCAUUUUGAUGUGACACACAGCCGACUUACAACUACACACACCAGCAAGUAGUUGCGAUAAUGCUCCCAAAUACUUUUGCUGCAUUUAUUUUCUGAAAUAAUGCGAUGAUGAAAGUGCUAAUAAAUCUUACCGAAUUAAA